rnacentral:rRNA from 1 species
CCUACGGGUGGCAGCAGUGAGGAAUAUUGGUCAAUGGCCGGAAGGCUGAACCAGCCAUGCCGCGUGAAGGUCAGUGCCCUAUGGGCGUUAAACUUCUUUUGUGCGGGAGCAAUAAUGGUCAAGCUUGGCCAGACGAGAGUACCGGACGAAUAAGCAUCGGCUAACUCCGUGCCAGCAGCCGCGGUAUUACGGUGGAUGCAAGCGUUAUCCGGGUUGUUUGGGGUUAACGGGUGCGUAGGCUGGUAGGUAAGUCAGCGGGGAAAUGCCCCCGCUCAAAGGGGUGCAGUGCCAUUGAUACUGCCUUGCUGGAGUGCGGAUGCCGUGGGAGGAAGGUGUGGUGUAGCGGUGAAAUGCAUAGAGAUCACACAGAACACCGAUUGCGAAGGCAUCUCACGAAUCCGCGAUUGACGCUGAUGCACGAAAGCGUGGGUAUCAAACAGGAUUAGAUACCCGGGUAGUC